GGACUACCGGGGUAUCUAAUCCUGUUUGCUCCCCAAGCUUUCGUAUCUGAGCGUCAGGCACGAGCCAGGAUACCGCCUUCGCCUCUGGUAUUCCUCCCGAUCUCUACCCAUUUCACUGGUCCACCGGGAAUUCUAUAUCCCUCUCUCGCCCUCAAGCCUGCCCGUAUCCACGGCACCCUCCCAGUUGAGCCGGGAGAUUUCACCAUAGACGCAACAGGCCGCCUGCAUACGCUUUACGCCCAGUAACUCCGGACAACGCUCGCAUCCUACGUAUUACCGCGGCUGCUGGCAC
rnacentral:rRNA from 1 species